rnacentral:rRNA from 1 species
UACGGAGGGUGCAAGCGUUUUUCGGAAUUACUGGGCGUAAAGCGCGUGUAGGCGGCUUGGCAAGUCGGGUGUGAAAUCCCGGGGCUCAACCCCGGAACUGCAUUCGAAACUGCCUGGCUGGAGUCCCGGAGAGGGUGGUGGAAUUCCCAGUGUAGAGGUGAAAUUCGUAGAUAUUGGGAGGAACACCAGUGGCGAAGGCGGCCACCUGGACGGUGACUGACGCUGAGACGCGAAAGCGUGGGGAGCAAACAGG